GAUGAACGCUGGCGGCGUGCCUAAUACAUGCAAGUCGAGCGAACAGACGAGGAGCUUGCUCCUCUGACGUUAGCGGCGGACGGGUGAGUAACACGUGGAUAACCUACCUAUAAGACUGGGAUAACUUCGGGAAACCGGAGCUAAUACCGGAUAAUAUAUUGAACCGUAUGGUUCAAUAGUGAAAGACGGUUUUGCUGUCACUUAUAGAUGGAUCCGCGCCGCAUUAGCUAGUUGGUAAGGUAACGGCUUACCAAGGCAACGAUGCGUAGCCGACCUGAGAGGGUGAUCGGCCACACUGGAACUGAGACACGGUCCAGACUCCUACGGGAGGCAGCAGUAGGGAAUCUUCCGCAAUGGGCGAAAGCCUGACGGAGCAACGCCGCGUGAGUGAUGAAGGUCUUCGGAUCGUAAAACUCUGUUAUUAGGGAAGAACAAAUGUGUAAGUAACUAUGCACGUCUUGACGGUACCUAAUCAGAAAGCCGCGGCUAACUACGUG
rnacentral:rRNA from 1 species